rnacentral:rRNA from 1 species
CACGUAGGGCGCAAGCGUUGUCCGGAAUUAUUGGGCGUAAAGAGCUCGUAGGCGGUCUGUUACGUCUGCUGUGAAACCCUGGGCUUAACCCUGGGCUUGCAGUGGAUACGGGCAGACUAGAGGCAGGUAGGGGAGAAUGGAAUUCCCGGUGUAGCGGUGAAAUGCGCAGAUAUCAGGAGGAACACCAGUGGCGAAGGCGGUGCUCUGGGCCGGAACUGACGCUGAGGAGCGAAAGCGUGGGGAGCAAACAGG